rnacentral:lncRNA from 1 species
AUUUCAUACUUAAAACAAUAUUCUAUGCAAAAUGCUAUAAUUUCCCCUUGCCUCCAAUUUACACAUGAUAAAACUGAGCCUAGUAAAAUUAAGUAUCAUGCCCCAAAGUUCUCUGCUUAGUAAGAAGUAGAGGCAAGCCCAAACCUAAGUCAUCUGAUUUCAGAGCCCAUACAGUUAAAUGCUCUAAAUGCAGCUUCCCGUGAUGAUGGUGACUAUGAGAGCCUGUCACAUAUGAUGUAGGACAGUGCUUCCCUGUAACAUGCACAAGAUUCCCGUGAUGAUGGUGAUUAUGAGAAGCCUGUCACAUGAUGUAGGACAGUGCUUCCCUGUAACAUGUGCAAGAUUCCCGUGAUGAUGGUGACUAUGAGAGCCUGUCACAUAUGAUGUAGGACAGUGCUUCCCUGUAACAUGUGCAAGAUUCCCAUGAUGAUGGUGACUAUGAGAGCCUGUCACAUAGGAUGUAGGACAGUGCUUCCCUGUAACAUGCACAAGAUUCACCCAGGGAUCUCUUUAAAAUGCAAAACCAUAGACCACACUUUGACUGGCUUGGAUAAGGGGUCAGAGCAUCGAAAUGAGUGUGUAGGUGACUGUGCUAAAAUUCUCCUGCUCAUGUGGGCACUGGCUCAUGAUAUUAACAAAGCUUAGGACCUCUAGUCCUUUCUGGAAAGAAAAUACACAUACAUAGCAUGUGACUGUGCAUAUGGAAUAUCUGUUGUGUUCUGGACAUUGUGCUGGACAACAGAGAUAAGAAGUCAAAUAUCCCUUGUCUCUAUCUGAAAGGAGCUUCC